GGAAUUUCUAGUGAACAAGUAGAAAUCCAUUUGAUGUAAAUACAGAGUAUAUACUGUAGGCCUACCUAAUUUAAGUACAAAAUAUAUAUUCAAUCCAAAUCGUGGGUUAUUGCAUCUUUUAAAGGCAAUGUUCACGCGUUCACUGCAUCUUGCAUGUCAGCUCAAUUGGAAAUUGUCUUUAAAAGCUGUAAUGCCUUUAACCUGCGAGCAAAUUUAUAAUAUGUCAUUAAGCAGAAGCUUUUAUCCGAAGCAACAGUCAUGCAUGCAUACAUUUUACGUAUGGGUAGUCCCAGCGGGAAACGUAUGGGUAGCCCCAGCGGGAAACGUAUGGGUAGACCCAGCGGGAAACGUAUGGGUAGACCCAGCGGGAAACGUAUGGGUAGCCCCAGCGGGAAAUGGUCAAACGUAUUCUUGCAGUAAUUAUGUGAGGCUUAGUAUUUGACUUAUAAUUUGAAUUUAAAAAAUGUUUUACUUAAAAAUGUAUAAAGAAUAUAAAUGCCUCAUGAGGUUAGUUCAACUAAAAGCUUAUUUUACUGUAAUGUUUGUAAACAAAGUAAAUGUAAACAAACUCUAUAUAGCAUCAAAACAUGGUUAGAACUAUAAUUGUUAUAUCAUCAAUGGUCAGUCCUCUGUCUAUGAAUUGGAGAGGUAGAGCCCAUUCCUCAGCUUUUUACCGAAACAGGGGCACAGAGAAUGCUUUGUUAUUGUUUCAACUACUGAUUGUCCUUUAAGCCCUUUAAGUACAUUUCUUUCUUUUUAUUUACCAACAAGAGGUUUUAGUCACGAGGAAAGAACCGUGUACAACAAUAAAAGGAACAUCUUCAGGACAAAUUUCUUUUGGAAAAGCAGAGAUAAACUUCCCACAGUAAACAUUUUGUUGAUGUAAGUGCAGAAAAUGUCUUCACUGUUUUUUUCGUCUCAAUUUCAUAUAAAAACAUAUUAUUUUCAUGAUAUAAAAAGUGACACAAGGCAUUUUUUGUCAGUGUUACGAAAGGCAAUGAGCCAAAGACAUUCUAUACUAAUAUAAAUGAACUAUUACAGUUUAUUUUCUCUAGUCAUUCGUGCGAUAAUACUUAUUCUAUCCUACAACUUUGUGACUAGUCUACUUCUACAUGUAAUAAAGUGUAACUAUAAUGUGCACCUGUCAUGGUAACCUUUGGAUUUACAGAUCUUAGCAUAUAAAAAACAUAGUUUUUUGACAGAAGUUAGUUUGUUGACACAAAG
rnacentral:lncRNA from 13 species